CAGUCGCCGCGGUAAAACGGAGGGAGCUAGCGUUAUUCGGAAUUACUGGGCGUAAAGCGUGCGUAGGCGGUGAGUUAAGUCUGCUGUGAAAUCCCCGGGCUCAACCUGGGAAUGGCAGUGGAUACUGGCUCGCUAGAGUGUGUCAGAGGAUGGUGGAAUUCCCGGUGUAGCGGUGAAAUGCGUAGAGAUCGGGAGGAACAUCAGUGGCGAAGGCGGCCAUCUGGGACAACACUGACGCUGAGGCACGAAAGCGUGGGGAGCAAACAGGAUUAGAUACCCGAGUAGUCCCUGUCUCUUAUAC
rnacentral:rRNA from 1 species